rnacentral:tRNA from 1 species
GAAAGUUAGAAUGAGGUGUGUAGGUAGCACGGAGAAUUUUGAAUUCUUAGGGGUAGGUUCGAUUCCUAUUGUUCUAG